GGCUGCGGUAUUUUAACUGUACGAAGGUAGCAUAAUCAUUUGUCUAUUAAUUUUAGACUAGAAUGAAAGGUUAUAUGAGAAACUAUCUUUCUUAUUUAUACAUGUAAAACUUUUUUUUUAAUUUAAAAAAAUUAAAUUUUUUUAUAGGACGAGAAGACCCUAUAAAACUUAAUAAAUAUAUUUAUUUAUAUAUAAUUUAUUUAUUUUAUUGGGGAGAUAGAAAAAUUUUAUAAACUUUUAUUUUUUAUAAUCUUAUAUAUAAGAUUA
rnacentral:rRNA from 1 species